AAUCCCCAUGGCGACCACUCUGUCGGCGCCCCCCCGGGCUGCGCAGGUGCAGCACCUGUAGUAGGCGUGGCCACAUGAGCCCGUGAGUAAGGACCCUUCAUCCCGUGCCAGCCACCGGAUAGGAGCCAGGCCAUGGUAGGUCCUGCUGCCUGCUUAAGCUCUUCUGCAUCUCGUGCUGCUGCAUGAAUUUCCCUGCAAAGAUCACCAUGUGCUCACUGGGCCAGUCACCGGUGUCUCUCAGAAGUUGCCCCACCUGGUACCUCUCGUGCCGACUACCUGGUACCACUGUCUGAACUCCGAGGGGACAGUUCCCCGGCAUUGGCUACCCAGGACGGUGAUGAAUUCCAAAGAUGAAUUUCACUAUAUUGAACAUGGCCCAUUGCAUUUAAAAUUAAAGAGCUGGGAAGAAACCACCACUCGCUGAUGGUAAGUGUCUGGGGAAAUGAACACUCGUAUAUACUCUCAUGAAGGUGCACACUGUUAUGUUAUGAAACUUGGGGAAGACAAUCUGGCAAUAAGUUUCAAAACCUAUAUCUUUUGACCUGGCCAUUUCACUUCCAGGAAUUUACCCCAAGGGAAAGAGUUAGUUAAUAGCCUUUUUUUUUUUUUUUUUUUUUUUUUUUUUUUGCCAUUGAGUUGUAUGAGCUCUUUAUAUAUUUUGGAUAUUAGCCCCUUACCAAACAUACAGUUGGCAGAUAUUGUCUUCCAUUCUGGG
rnacentral:lncRNA from 1 species